rnacentral:rRNA from 1 species
CCUACGGGAGGCAGCAGUGGGGAAUAUUGCUCAAUGGGGGAAACCCUGAAGCAGCGACGCCGCGUGAGGGAUGAAGGCUUUCGGGAUGUAAAACCCUUUUUGUAGGGAAGCAAAUGACGGUAUCUGACGAAUAAGCCCCGGCUACCUACGUGCCAGCAGCCGCGGUAAUACGUCGGGGGCAAGCGUUACUCGGAAUUACUGGGCGUAAAGGGGGCUUAGUCGGGAUAGCAGGUCGGAUGGGAAAUCUUAUGGCGUAACCAUAGAACUGCAGUGGAAACUGUUAUUCUGGAGUUGGGGAGAGGUAUGCGGAAUGCGUGGUGUAGCGGGGAAAUGCGUAGAUAUCAGGAGGAACACCGAUGGCGAAGGCGGCAUACCGGAGUGUAACUGACGCUGAUGCGCGAAAGCGUGGGUAGCAAACAGGAUUAGAUACCCUAGUAGUC